rfam:Brachypodium distachyon strain Bd21 chromosome 5, whole genome shotgun sequence.
GAUAUACUCUCUCCAUCCAACAAAGGAUGUCUCAACUUUGAACAAAUUUGAAUGAAUUUAUACACUAAGUCAUGUCUACAUACAUCCAAAUUUUGACAAACUUCAGACAUCUUUUGUUAGACGGAGGAAGUAUGUU